rnacentral:rRNA from 1 species
GUGGGGAAUAUUGCGCAAUGGGGGCAACCCUGACGCAGCAACGCCGCGUGAGUGAAGAAGGUUUUAGGAUUGUAAAGCUCUGUCUUUGGGGACGAAACAAAUGACGGUACCCAAGGAGGAAGCCCCGGCUAACUACGUGCCAGCAGCCGCGGUAAUACGUAGGGGGCAAGCGUUGUCCGGAAUUACUGGGCGUAAAGGGCACGCAGGCGGUAUAAUAAGUCAGAUGUGAAAGUUUACAGCUUAACUGUGAAAGUGCAUUUGAAACUGAUAUACUUGAGUCUCGGAGAGGUAAGCGGAAUGCCUAGUGUAGCGGGGAAAUGCGUAGAUAUUAGGAGGAACACCGGUGGCGAAGGCGGCUUACUGGACGAGUACUGACGCUCAUGUGCGAAAGCGUGGGGAGCAAACAGGAUUAGAAACCCUUGUAGUCC